rnacentral:rRNA from 1 species
AAGGGAGCUUGCUCCUGGAUUCAGCGGCGGACGGGUGAGUAAUGCCUAGGAAUCUGCCUGGUAGUGGGGGAUAACGUUCCGAAAGGAACGCUAAUACCGCGUACGUCCUACGGGAGAAAGCAGGGGACCUUCGGGCCUUGCGCUAUCAGAUGAGCCUAGGUCGGAUUAGCUAGUUGGUGAGGUAAUGGCUCACCAAGGCGACGAUCCGUAACUGGUCUGAGAGGAUGAUCAGUCACACUGGAACUGAGACACGGUCCAGACUCCUACGGGAGGCAGCAGUGGGGAAUAUUGGACAAUGGGCGAAAGCCUGAUCCAGCCAUGCCGCGUGUGUGAAGAAGGUCUUCGGAUUGUAAAGCACUUUAAGUUGGGAGGAAGGGCUGUAGGCUAAUAUCCUGCGGUUUUGACGUUACCAACAGAAUAAGCACCGGCUAACUUCGUGCCAGCAGCCGCGGUAAUACGAAGGGUGCAAGCGUUAAUCGGAAUUACUGGGCGUAAAGCGCGCGUAGGUGGUUCGUUAAGUUGGAUGUGAAAGCCCCGGGCUCAACCUGGGAACUGCAUCCAAAACUGGCGAGCUAGAGUACGGUAGAGGGUAGUGGAAUUUCCUGUGUA